rnacentral:lncRNA from 1 species
AAAGAAAUGGCAAGAACUGCCUGCAUGUGUAUCAGGUUAGACAAGGAGAAGCGAUUGCAGAGAAUAACUGGAUAUGUGGCGAGGUGCAAGGGAGAGAAUUACUUUAACAAGGUCUGUUUGCAGGGAAUUCUCUUGGCGACAACUCCCCAUUGAAGAAUGUUCCUUUCUUCUGGAGAAAGGAGGGCACCUUUCACGUGGGAGUUUUUGUCUCCUGUUUUCCGGGAAAGAAGGAAGAUCAGAGUGCCCUCGUUGCAUCUGCUGUUUUCAAGUUGCCUUAGCUUGAGCCUGCUCAUCAGAAUUAGCCACAUGUCCCUGAGCCAACUACAAUGGAGCCUGGAAUAUGCAAUCUUCCCCAGCAUCUGGGAGAGGAAAGUGAACAUGGAGCAUUGUCUUGGCUGUGGUGGCCAACAAACAUUGGGACAGAACUUGAUUGUAGGGGCACCAGUGGGAGGCGAGUGUUAUGAUCCGAUGGCUUCACUUGUGAUCUAUUCUUCAUGAUAAUAUAGGCUAAACCUGAGCCCUGGGCUCCAGGACAGGCAGUCUGCUGCCUUUGACUAAUUUUUAAGUGCAGAGGUGCUGGGCUUCUCUGUAGAGGAGCAGCACUGCUGAAUCACAGUGAUUUUCCUGGAGAGAGAGUCCUAGGAGGGGAUUCCAGCUGUUCCCCACCCCACCUGAAGCAAAGGCUAUUAUUCCCACAGGAGUGCUCCUGGGGAGCCUGACACCACCAGGGAGGAGCCG